rnacentral:rRNA from 1 species
UGUAGGCCUCAAAUAAUGUGUGACUACCCCCUAAACUUAAGCAUAUUAAUAAGGGGAGGAAAAGAAACUAACAAGGAUUCCCUGAGUAGCUGCGAGCGAAACGGGAAGAGCUCAGCACGUAGAGGUGAUGCACUCGCGCAUCUACCUGGUUCCGUGUACUGGAAAUUUCGUCAUCUGCCGUAACCAGCGGUUACCAGUUCAAGUUCAACUAGAAUGUGGCUUUUACUCCCAGAGAGGGUGAUAGGCCCGUAGAACGGCGCUGAUGGUAGAAGAUUUUUCCAUGGAGUCGUGUUGCUUGAUAGUGCAGCACAAAGUGGGAGGUAAACUCCUUCUAAAGCUAAAUAUCACCACGGGACCGAUAGCGAACAAGUACCGUGA